AACACAUGAUUAGGCAACUACAUCGGCGUAGCGCGUGCGUGUGAUGUCAUUUCGUCAUCAGCAGCGGACAUCUUGGGACUUGUCGCGACAUUUGGCACUCUUCAAUUUUCACGCUCAACUCCUGCAUGCUACGAUAUAGAAGUUGGCAACACUGCGGUUACUAGAGAAGAGGACAUCAAAAGAGUGAGAGUGAGAGUGAGGGUGAGGUGAGGUGAGGUGAGGAUGUCCAAACAGUGAGGUGCAUGCUGUUCUGUCAAAGUAUCAAGAAGGAAAUUCUCUGGUCCUGUGCAUCCUGCAACUCUUAAUGGCCCAUUUUAAAGAGAGAACAGAAUCACUUCUAAUUGAAGCUAAUGUAGCAGCAACUGCAGCCGACAUGGAAAGAAAUGGAUUACCGGAUUCACACGCACUGAUCUUUCAAGGUGAAUCCAUGACCCCAAGCAAGUAGAUGUUGUCAGUCGAAAGGGAAGCUGUCUUUGGCCCAUGUUCAGAGGCAUUUGUUGAGGGCCUGGCAGUAUUGUUUGCGACCUAUUACAACUUAAACCUUGCUUAUCAGGAUGAAGCUGCAUGCACCCUCGAAUUUAUUCAGAGGUAUGUCAGAACAUAAACGCUUACUGAAUAUGUAUUGUAGACAUCCAAAUUUCCAUUACUUUUUUUAGGUUUACAGGUUUGGAUGGCUUAUCAGGAUUAGAUGUUUUUUGGAAAAGUUUUCAAACAGCAAAAAAAUGCUGACUGCACACUGAAUUGAGUACAUACAACCAAAGUCCAGCAAAAAUAUUUUAUAAAAAAAUCUAUUACAAAAUAUGCAAACAAAUGU